GGCCAGUUAGCUCAAUCGGUUAGAGCUUGGUGCUGAUAACACCAAGGUCGUGGGUUCGAUCCCUGCCCGGUCCC
rnacentral:tRNA from 1 species